UCCAGUCUCAAGGCCCAGCAGCACACCCAUCCAGUACACCCACCGGGCUGGACGGUGGCUUCAUGCAGGUGAUGCAGGCCUGGGGCUGAGGACUGGUGACUCACAUCCAAGGAUCCCUGUCUUGGGGACCAUGCUUGGUCUCUCCUGUCUUUGUAGAGCACUUGUCUGAAGUGCGUUGCUGACAGUGUCCCUCAGGGUAUGUGGAGCCCGUCAGCCACAACCUCAGCUCCAGCUCGUGCACCGGUCGGGCAUCUGGACACUGCAGACUGGGGUGUGUGCUGUGACUGCGGUUCUGAGGUCCCAUCAGACCCAGAAUCCCAGGGGAGGAAGUGCAAUGUCUGCUUUGUUCUCAUGGCAAGUCGGCCUUGAAGGUACUG
rnacentral:lncRNA from 1 species